UGUGCUCCGACCCCACCCUAAAGCCCGAGGGUGGUGGCUCUUCAACCUCCGGAAGGGCCUUUCCUUCAUCACUGGUCUUCCAUCCUCCAUCCAUGGGUGGAAGAACCAGUUUUUCUUUGUAUCAUCUCCAUCUCCUUGGGGCUUCCCUUCCCACUGGGGCGUGCCCCGAACCGAAGCCAAUGACAACAGCCGGAUGGAGGCGGACGACCGGGAGGACUUCCACCGACUCAAAGAUAUGUCGGUC
rnacentral:lncRNA from 1 species